GUUGCGUAUUAAAUUAGUAGUGUGCUGCUUCAUGUUUCAGGUGAAGAGGUUCAGUUUUGCUGGUGCUUCAUCUGAGAAUGACGGUAGAGUAAUGACUGUUCUUCAAGAUGUGUUUCUUGCUAAUGUUGAGGUGUGUCAGGACAAUUUUCGUCCAAAAUGCAUAUAUGUUGCUGUCAUGUUGAGAAGGAUAAUGGAUGCAAUUUUAAACAAGGAUGCAAUGGAUG